rnacentral:rRNA from 1 species
UAACUUUGAGCGGUGGAUCACUCGGCUCGUGCGUCGAUGAAGAGCGCAGCCAGCUGCGUGAAUAAUGUGAAUUGCAGAACACA